AGAUUACUCACCUCCCCUGCUGGUCAUUAAAUCAGUCUGGCAGAAUACCUCGGAAGUUCUGUGGCCUUCCGGGCAUGCGGCAGCAGUACAGGCAGUGCGGCAGACAGGCCUGCUUGCUGUGAUGUGCUACCAAGCAGGUGACUUCAAAGGUCUGCUUCAAGCCUAUCUCAGGUAUCACUUGGGGCUCAUACUGAGCCCCAAAGUCAGGUACCAGAUGGCAUAUACCACAAAGUCAGAGCUGAUCAGAUCCCCUAGCUCCUGCGCCAAGGGAUGCUGCAACCUCUCAGGUGCUGGGCUACCUCCCGUCUGCUGACCUGAGGCCAGGGCCUCACAUCAAAGACAUCAACUCCCUGAGACGGCUGGUGUGAAGUGCAGGCACGUCUCAUCUGGACACUUCUGCCUGGAGCCUCCCAGAGAUGGCUGCUGCAGAGUUGACCCAUCCAAUCUCCUGACUGGAGCAUCAGACUCUGGCUGCUGAUAUUCUGGAGUUGUUGGCAGGGAGAAGAUUAGUGGUCUCAACAUUCAAUCUCCUGGAAGACAUUGACCUUCUCUCUGUCACUAUAG